rnacentral:lncRNA from 1 species
UCUCUCAAAUCUCUCUCGUGCGAAUCUCGAUGGCGGCUUUAUCGCGCCGGAGCUGCAAUCUCCUGAAGCCUCUCCCCACGCUACUCCCCUACACCUCUCAUUUCCGCCGUUCGGUCUCCACCGACUCCACGCCGUUCACCGUCGAGACCUCGAUUCCGUUCACCAGUCACAACUGCGAGCCGCCGUCGCGCUCCGUCGAGACCUCCGCCGCCGAGCUGAUGACGUUCUUCAACGACAUGGCGAAGAUGAGGCGCAUGGAGAUCGCGGCGGAUUCGCUGUACAAGUCGAAGCUUAUUCGUGGAUUUUGCCAUCUCUAUGACGGUCAAGAGGCCGUUGCUAUUGGUAU